ensembl:piRNA 21ur-6463 ncRNA
UUGAAAUUUAUCGCCUGAAAA